CUUAUGGAGCGAAGUCUUUGAUUCCCCGCUGCCAAGAAAAGCUUCUAGCGAGAUAAAAGGUGCCUGUACCGCAAACCGACACAGGUAGGCGAGGAGAGAAUCCUAAGGUGUGCGAGAGAACUCUGGUUAAGGAACUCGGCAAAAUGACCCCGUAACUUCGGGAGAAGGGGUGCUUUCUUAACGGAAAGCCGCAGUGAAUAGGCCCAAGCGACUGUUUAGCAAAAACACAGCUCUCUGCGAAGCCGUAAGGCGAAGUAUAGGGGGUGACACCUGCCCGGUGCUGGAAGGUUAAGGAGAGGGGUUAGCGUAAGCGAAGCUCUGAACUGAAGCCCCAGUAAACGGCGGCCGUAACUAUAACGGUCCUAAGGUAGCGAAAUUCCUUGUCGGGUAAGUUCCGACCCGCACGAAAGGUGUAACGAUUUGGGCACUGUCUCAACCAGAGACUCGGUGAAAUUAUAGUACCUGUGAAGAUGCAGGUUACCCGCGACAGGACGGAAAGACCCCGUGGAGCUUUACUGUAGCCUGAUAUUGAAUUUUGGUACAGUUUGUACAGGAUAGGCGGGAGCCAUUGAAACCGGAGCGCUAGCUUCGGUGGAGGCGCUGGUGGGAUACCGCCCUGACUGUAUUGAAAUUCUAACCUACGGGUCUUAUCGACCCGGGAGACAGUGUCAGGUGGGCAGUUUGACUGGGGCGGUCGCCUCCUAAAGUGUAACGGAGGCGCCCAAAGGUUCCCUCAGAAUGGUUGGAAAUCAUUCGUAGAGUGCAAAGGCAUAAGGGAGCUUGACUGCGAGACCUACAAGUCGAGCAGGGACGAAAGUCGGGCUUAGUGAUCCGGUGGUUCCGCAUGGAAGGGCCAUCGCUCAACGGAUAAAAGCUACCCCGGGGAUAACAGGCUUAUCUCCCCCAAGAGUCCACAUCGACGGGGAGGUUUGGCACCUCGAUGUCGGCUCAUCGCAUCCUGGGGCUGUAGUCGGUCCCAAGGGUUGGGCUGUUCGCCCAUUAAAGCGGUACGCGAGCUGGGUUCAGAACGUCGUGAGACAGUUCGGUCCCUAUCCGUCGUGGGCGUAGGAAAUUUGAGAGGAGCUGUCCUUAGUACGAGAGGACCGGGAUGGACGCACCGCUGGUGUACCAGUUGUUCUGCCAAGGGCAUAGCUGGGUAGCUAUGUGCGGAAGGGAUAAGUGCUGAAAGCAUCUAAGCAUGAAGCCCCCCUCAAGAUGAGAUUUCCCAUAGCGUAAGCUAGUAAGAUCCCUGAAAGAUGAUCAGGUUGAUAGGUUCGAGGUGGAAGCAUGGUGACAUGUGGAGCUGACGAAUACUAAUAGAUCGAGGACUUAACCAUAUAA
rnacentral:rRNA from 2 species